GGUUGUUUGGCCGAGCGGUCUAAGGCGCCUGAUUCAAGAAACUUAAAACCUUUCUUAACCACUGAACACAGUGGGAACACUCAGGUAUCGUAAGAUGCAAGAGUUCGAAUCUCUUAGCAACCA
rfam:Kazachstania naganishii CBS 8797 chromosome 13, complete genome